UACAGAGGUGGCAAGCGUUGUUCGGAAUUACUGGGCGUAAAGGGCGCGUAGGCGGCCCGAUAAGUCCCGCGUGAAAGCCCCCGGCUCAACUGGGGAACGGCGCGGGAAACUAUCGGGCUUGAGUUCGGGAGAGGGAAGCGGAAUUCCGGGUGUAGCGGUGAAAUGCGUAGAUAUCCGGAGGAACACCAGUGGCGAAGGCGGCUUCCUGGACCGACACUGACGCUGAGGCGCGAAAGCUAGGGGAGCAAACGGG
rnacentral:rRNA from 1 species